rnacentral:rRNA from 1 species
GAUCUCUUUGAGGCCCGUUAUCGGAAUGAGAACAAUUCAAAUCCUUUAACGAGGAUCUAGCGGAGGGCAAGUCUGGUGCCAGCAGCCGCGGUAAUUCCAGCGCCGCAGAUUUAUAUCCAUGCUGCUGCGGUUAAAAAGCUCGUAGUUGGAUCUGCGUGCUCGGAACUGGUUGGCUCACUGAGCUCAUACUGGUCUCCGGCGCUUUAUUGGCUGGUUUUCCCUUGAUGCUCUUAACCGGGUGUCUUGGGUGGCUAGCACGUUUACUUUGAAAAAAUUAGAGUGCUCAAUACAGGCGCAAAGCCUUGAAUAGUGGUGCAUGGAAUAAUAGAAUAGGACCUCGGCUCUAUUUUGUUGGUUUUCGGAACGCGAGGUAAUGAUUAAGAGGGACAGACGGGGGCAUUCGUAUUGCGACGUUAGAGGUGAAAUUCUUGGAUCGUCGCAAGACGGACGACUGCGAAAGCAUUUGCCAAGAAUGUUUUCAUUAAUCAAGAACGAAAGUUAGAGGUUCGAAGGCGAUCAGAUACCGCCCUAGUUCUAACCGUAAACGAUGCCAACUAGCGAUUCGCAGGCGUUAAACAACGACCUUGCGGGCAGCUUCCCGGAAACGAAAGUGUUCGGGUUCCGGGGGAAGUAUGGUUGCAAAGCUGAAACUUAAAGGAAUUGACGGAAGGGCACCACCAGGAGUGGAGCCUGCGGCUUAAUUUGACCCAACACGGGAAAACUCACCCGGCCCGGACACCGUAAGGAUUGACAGAUUGAGAGCUCUUUCUUGAUUCGGUGGGUGGUGGUGCAUGGCCGUUCUUAGUUGGUGGAGCGAUUUGUCUGGUUUAUUCCGAUAACGAACGAGACUCUGGCCUACUAAAUAGUGGGCGGAUUCUUUCUGUCCGCAACACUUCUUAGAGGGACAAGCGGUGUUUAGCCGCACGAGAUUGAGCAAUAACAGGUCUGUGAUGCCCUUAGAUGUCCGGGGCUGCACGCGCGCUACACUGAAGGAAUCAGCGUGCUUUCUGACCUUGCCCGAAAGGGCUGGGUAACCCGAUGAAAAUCCUUCGUGAUUGGGAUAGGGACUUGCAAUUAUUUCCCUUGAACGAGGAAUUCCCAGUAAGUGUGGGUCAUAAGCUCGCGUUGAUUACGUCCCUGCCCUUUGUACACACCGCCCGUCGCUGCCCGGGACUGAGCCGUUUCGAGAAGAACAGGGACCGUCGUUGAAGGGCCCUAACGGGCUUUUCUCUGAUAGAAACUGUUUU